rnacentral:rRNA from 1 species
UCAGGAUUAACGCUGGCGGCGUGCAUAACACAUUCAAGUCGAACGAAGCACUUGAAACGGAGACUUCGGUCAAAGAUUCUUGUGACUUAGUGGCGGACGGGUGAGUAACGCGUGAGCAACCUGCCUCUGUGUGGGGGACAACGACUGGAAACGGUCGCUAAUACCGCAUAAUAUAUUCCGAUUGCAUGGUUGGGAUAUCAAAGAUUUAUCGCACAGAGAUGGGCUCGCGUCCCAUUAGAUAGUUGGUGAGGUAACGGCUCACCAAGUCGACGAUGGGUAGCCGGACUGAGAGGUUGAACGGCCACAUUGGAACUGAGAUACGGUCCAGACUCCUACGGGAGGCAGCAGUGGGGAAUAUUGGGCAAUGGGCGAAAGCCUGACCCAGCGACGCCGCGUGAAGGAAGAAGGCCUUCGGGUUGUAAACUUCUGUUGUAAGGGACGAAUAAAAUGACGGUACCUUACGAGGAAGCCACGGCUAACUACGUGCCAGCAGCCGCGGUAAUACGUAGGUGGCGAGCGUUAUCCGGAUUUACUGGGUGUAAAGGGUGUGUAGGCGGGAAGGCAAGUCAGAUGUGAAAAUUAUGGGCUUAACUCAUAACCUGCAUUUGAAACUGCUUUUUCUUGAUAAUCGGAGAGGUAAGUGGAAUUCCCAGUGGAACGGUGGAAUGGCGUAGAUUUGUGGGAAGAACCACCCAGUGGGGAAGGGCGUCUUAUUGGUGCGAUAUCUGACUGUUGAGACAGGGAAGGCGUGGGGAGCAACCAGGUUUGGAUCCCGUGGUAGUCCACGCCGUAAACGAUGAAUGCUAGGUGUAGGGGAGCAAUCUUCUGUGCCGCAGUUAACACAAUAAGCAUUCCACCUGGGGAGUACGGCCGCAAGGUUGAAACUCAAAGGAAUUGACGGGAGCCCGCACAAGCAGUGGAGUAUGUGGUUUAGUUCGACGCAACGCGAAGAACCUUACCAGGACUUGACAUCCCGGGAAGUCGGCGUAAUGGCUGAUGUGCCCUUCGGGGAAUCCGGUGACAGGUGGUGCAUGGUUGUCGUCAGCUCGUGUCGUGAGAUGUUGGGUUAAGUCCCGCAACGAGCGCAACCCCUACGGUUAGUUGCUACGCAAGAGCACUCUGGCCGGACUGCCGUUGACAAAACGGAGGAAGGUGGGGAUGACGUCAAAUCAUCAUGCCCCUUACGUUCUGGGCUACACACGUACUACAAUGGCGAAAACAAAGGGAAGCAAAACCGCGAGGUGGAGCAAAUCCCAUAAAAGUCGUCCCAGUUCGGACUGCAGGCUGCAACCCGCCUGCACGAAGUUGGAAUAGCUAGUAAUCGCGGAUCAGCAUGCCGCGGUGA